rnacentral:rRNA from 1 species
AUUGAACGCUGGCGACAUGCCUUACACAUGCAAGUCGAACGGCAGCACGGGUGCUUGCACCUGGUGGCGAGUGGCGAACGGGUGAGUAAUACAUCGGAACAUGUCCUGUAGUGGGGGAUAGCCCGGCGAAAGCCGGAUUAAUACCGCAUACGAUCUACGGAUGAAAGCGGGGGACCUUCGGGCCUCGCGCUAUCGGGUUGGCCGAUGGCUGAUUAGCUAGUUGGGGGGGUAAAGGCCUACCAAGGCGACGAUCAGUAGCUGGUCUGAGAGGACGAUCAGUCACACUGGGACUGAGACACGGCCCAGACUCCUACGGGAGGCAGCAGUGGGGAAUUUUGGACAAUGGGCGAAAGCCUGAUCCAGCAAUGCCGCGUGUGUGAAGAAGGCCUUCGGGUUGUAAAGCACUUUUGUCCGGAAAGAAAUCCUUGGCCCUAAUACGGUCGGGGGAUGACGGUACCGGAAGAAUAAGCACCGGCUAACUACGUG